CCCUUAGAUGUUCUGGGCAGCACGCGCGCUACAAUGGUCUUCGCAAACGGAUGCAUUCUCGAAGGAGAAUGCCAAUCUUGGAAUCUAUGCCUUGGUCGGGACAGUUGCUUGCAAUUUUUCGACUCGAACCAGGAAUUCCUUGUAAUCGUGAUCCAUCACAUCACGAUGAAUACGUCCCUGCCCUUUGUACACACCGCCCGUCGCUCCUACCGAUCGAAGAGUUAGGUGAAUUGUUUGAUCGAUAAGAUUUGACUAUGGUCAACUCUCGUUGUGAAAUUCUGUGAAUCUGACUGUUUAGAGGAAGGAAAAGUCGUAACA
rnacentral:rRNA from 1 species